GACGAACGCUGGCGGCGUGCCUAACACAUGCAAGUUGAGCGACGAACCAGGGCUUGCCCUGGGGCAAAGCAGCGAACGGGUGAGUAACACGUGGGUAACCUACCCCGAUAACCGGGACAACCUGAGAAAACUCGGGCUAAUACCGGAUGUGCUCACUGGACUUCGGUUCAGUGCGUAAAGGAAGCUUCGGCCUCCGUAUCGGGAGGGGCCCGCGGCCCAUUAGUUUGUUGGUGAGGUAACGGCUCACCAAGACCGCGAUGGGUAGCUGGUCUGAGAGGACGAUCAGCCACACUGGGACUGAGACACGGCCCAGACUCCUACGGGAGGCAGCAGUGGGGAAUCUUGCGCAAUGCGCGAAAGCGUGACGCAGCAACGCCGCGUGGGGGAAGAAGGCCUUCGGGUUGUAAACCCCUUUCAGGAGGGACGAAGGUUCGGCGGUGAAUAGCCGUCCGGACUGACGGUACCUCCACAAGAAGCCCCGGCUAACUACGUG
rnacentral:rRNA from 1 species